rnacentral:rRNA from 1 species
UGGGGAAUUUUGGACAAUGGGCGAAAGCCUGAUCCAGCAAUGCCGCGUGUGUGAAGAAGGCCUUCGGGUUGUAAAGCACUUUUGUCCGGAAAGAAAUCCUUGGCUCUAAUACAGUCGGGGGAUGACGGUACCGGAAGAAUAAGCACCGGCUAACUACGUGCCAGCAGCCGCGGUAAUACGUAGGGUGCAAGCGUUAAUCGGAAUUACUGGGCGUAAAGCGUGCGCAGGCGGUUUGCUAAGACCGAUGUGAAAUCCCCGGGCUCAACCUGGGAACUGCAUUGGUGACUGGCAGGCUAGAGUAUGGCAGAGGGGGGUAGAAUUCCACGUGUAGCAGUGAAAUGCGUAGAGAUGUGGAGGAAUACCGAUGGCGAAGGCAGCCCCCUGGGCCAAUACUGACGCUCAUGCACGAAAGCGUGGGGAGCAAACAGGAUUAGAUACCCCUGGUAGUCCACGCCCUAAACGAUGUCAACUAGUUGUGGGGAUUCAUUUCCUUAGUAACGUAGCUAACGCGUGAAGUUGACCGCCUGGGGGAGUACGGUCGCAAGAUUAAAACUCAAAUGAAUUGACGGGGUCAUAGCUGUUUCCU